AACGAACGCUGGCGGCAUGCCUAACACAUGCAAGUCGAACGAGACCUUCGGGUCUAGUGGCGCACGGGUGCGUAACGCGUGGGAACCUGCCCUUAGGUUCGGUAUAACUCUCCGAAAGGGGUGCUAAUACCGGAUAAUGUCUUCGGACCAAAGAUUUAUCGCCUUUGGAUGGGCCCGCGUUGGAUUAGCUAGUUGGUAGGGUAAAAGCCUACCAAGGCGACGAUCCAUAGCUGGUCUGAGAGGAUGAUCAGCCACACUGGGACUGAGACACGGCCCAGACUCCUACGGAAGGCAGCAGUGGGGAAUAUUGGACAAUGGGCGAAAACCUGAUCCAGCAAUGCCGCGUGAGUGAUGAAGGCCGUAGGGUUGUAAAGCUCCUUUACCCGGGAUGAUAAUGACAGUACCGGGAGAAUAAGCUCCGGCUAACUACGUG
rnacentral:rRNA from 1 species